GGGAAGAGCUCAAAUUUGAAAUCUGGCGUCCUCAGGGCGUCCGAGUUGUAAUCUAUAGAGGCGUUUUCCGUGCCGGACCGUGUCCAAGUUCCUUGGAACAGGAUAUCAAAGAGGGUGACAAUCCCGUACUUGACACGACGACCGGUGCUCUGUGAUACGUCUUCUACGAGUCGAGUUGUUUGGGAAUGCAGCUCAAAAUGGGUGGUGAGUUCCAUCUAAAGCUAAAUAUUGGCGAGAGACCGAUAGCGAACAAGUACCGUGAGGGAAAGAUGAAAAGCACUUUGGAAAGAGAGUUAAACAGUACGUGAAAUUGUUGAAAGGGAAACGAUUGAAGUCAGUCGUGACCGAGAGGCUCAGCCGGUUCUGCCGGUGUAUUCCCCUCGGUCGGGUCAACAUCAGUUUUGUCCGGUGGAUAAGGGCGGUAGGAAGGUGGCACCCUCGGGUGUGUUAUAGCCUGCCGUCGCAUACAUCGGGUGAGACUGAGGAACGCAGCUCGCCUUUAUGGCCGGGGUUCGCCCACGUCCGAGCUUAGGAUGUUGACAUAAUGGCUUUAAACGACCCGUCUUGAAACACGGACCAAA
rnacentral:rRNA from 1 species